rnacentral:rRNA from 1 species
GACAGAGGCUGCAAACGUUGUUCGGAAUCACUGGGCAUAAAGCGCACGUAGGCGGUCUGUUAAGUCAGGUGUGAAAGCCCUCGGCUCAACCGGGGAACAGCAUUUGAUACUGGCAGACUCGAGGAUGGUAGGGGUGAGUGGAACUCCAGGUGGAGCGGUGAAAUGCGUAGAUAUCUGGAGGAACACCGGUGGCGAAAGCGGCUCACUGGACCAUAACUGACGCUGAGGUGCGAAAGCUAGGGUAGCAAACGGG